UUUAUACUCCCUCCGUCCCAAAACUUUUGUCUUUGUUUUGCCUAGAUAUGAAUGUAUCUAGUCAUGUGUUAGUAUUUAGGUACAUCCAUUUCUAGACAAACAUAAAACAAAAUUUUUGGGACGGAGGAAGUACUAA
rnacentral:pre_miRNA from 1 species